rnacentral:lncRNA from 1 species
CCCACCAUUGUUUUGUCAAGAAAUACAGCCUCGUGAAAUAGAUCAUUGUUAACAGGUAAACAAAAUCAAAUUUAUGCAAAUCAUUAUGACUCCAUUUACAAGAAAAAUGCAUCAAACCCUCUGCUACCAACAUCAUGAACCAAAAAUGAUUUCAAUGCUCCGAAAGUUUCAACAGAACACCAUCAACUACACUCCUGCAAGUUUUGAGCUUAAUUUAUUGAACAUCCCAGCAAACAUUGAACAAGAGUAGGAAAUAGGAACCUUCAACCACCAAUUUUUUGACCACUUAACAAAUUCGAUUUCUUCAAUAGCCAACCAGCUCAUCUCCACUGAUACACCUCAAAACAAAGACUUUCUAAGAGUAGUUUGUUAUCAAAAUCUUCACUUUCCAAAACCCCAUCUUAACAGUUCUUUCAAACAAGAAAAAGAAAAACCAAGUUGAGAAAAGAGGUCAGGCUUGAGAGGUAAUAGAAAAAUACCUCAAUUGGUUACAAGAGAUUAAGAGAGAAAUUAUGGAGAAGAGAUGAAAA